CACGUGAGGGGCGAGCGUUGUCCGGAAUCAUUGGGCGUAAAGAGCUCGUAGGCGGCUCAGUAAGUCGGGAUGUGAAACCCCCAGGCUCAACCUGGGAACGCCACCCGAUACUGCUGUGGCUAGAGUCCAGUAGGGGAGUGUGGAAUUCCCGGUGUAGCGGUGAAAUGCGUAGAUAUCUGGAAGGAACACCGGUGGCGAAGGCGGCAUCCUGGACCAAUUCUGACGGCU
rnacentral:rRNA from 1 species